GUGAAAAAGGCUUGUAAUCCACAGUGAUCAGCUAAGAUGUUGUUUCACUGGAUUAUUUAAUUGGGCAUAUAAUUGGAUAAUUCUGGAUCAGCUGAGAUGUUAUUUCACUGGAUUAUUUAAUGGAUAGACUUAUUGGGCAUAUAUUUGGAUAUCUCUGUCCUCAACCUGGAAGAUAUGUUUUGUUCCUAACCAUCUAUAAUCCAUUCUCUAUGAAGUUCAGACUGUCUGCUCUUCCUUUGGAAAUACACAGUUAGUCAACCAACAUAGAAACACACAAACUUGAAGGAUUCUCUAGUGAGGGCUUAUGGAAAUGAUCUAUGUCUACUCUCAGAAUGGUGAAAGACUAUCAGAUUAUGCAAAGACUAACAGAAUAUCCUCUCUUGGAACACUGAAACAAGAAAAUCAAACAGGAGAUGGAUGGAGGAUUUAAGAAGCACAUAGAUAAAUAUGAUUUCCAACGAAUUUAACCAGUAUUAUCAUAGACUGUGGUUUACAGGAUGACAAAGUAACAGGAUUGUAUCUUUUUACUGUCAGACACUGACUAUGGAUAAGAUGUACCCAUUUAUUAAACUGAGAUCUAGUCAAAUCAAGUACAAUUGUAUUGAAAAAAUGAUUUUCUGAUAGCAUGAACUCUUUAAAAAUUAAUUCUCACAGACCUCAAAGUAUCUGAAUGUGACUUUUAUUUUUACCAAUUUCUAUUGAAGACUGUUGUUAUGUAUGAGAAGUAUACAUUUAAACCUUUUAUUUUUCAUCUUAUUUCUAUAACCCCCUAGAAAUUACACAGAUAUUCAGAUGCUGGAUUUAAUAUUAUUAUUUAACUUUCCUGGAAUGGUAAAUAUAUUUUGUUUGUGUAUGUAUCAUGUUUAAUUUUGAAUUUAAAAUUGGUCUCAAUAAGACCCCCAAUAAAGAUGCAAGUGUCCCAUAAUCUGUGGUUUAAUAAUAUCUUGAAUAUCUUUAUCAUAUCAUAUUCAUCAUACUAAUUACAUAUAGAAUGUUUGUAGGAAUACACUUUGUUGUUUAGGACACUUUGUCAAGGUCAAAGCAUAAGAUUAUUGAGAUGACUUCUUUGACAAUAAUUUGUAACUUACAAACUUCACAUCAUAAGUACACAGAUGAAGAAUCAAUAAGAUAUUUCUAUAGAUUUUUUGGAUCAUUUACUCCUGGGUAAAAGUUAGUUACUAACUGAGAUUACUGAUUUGAAUCCUGUAAUGCAAUAACUUAGACAUUGUGUGAUAACUUAUAGACUUUAUAAAAAUUAGGUGCAAAUUCUUAGGAAAGGAUUGAAAUGUUAAUCAAAUGUACAAUGUUCAAGGGUGUUUAUAUGACUAUUACUAUGUAAUACCUUAGAAUUCUGUAAAAAAUUUAUUAUCACUGCGUAGAUAAAAAUGGUGCAUUACAGCAACUCUGGUGAUUUACAUACCUUCAGUCAUAAAUACAUGUAGAUAGGUAUUUGGAAGACUCCUUUAGAUUUUGAAAUUUUUUAAUUCAAAAGUAUAGAAUUUAAGUUUGAAAGAUUUAAAAUGGCAGCAUAUCAUUUGCUUGUGAAUUUAAAAAAUAAAUCCAAACAUAUACAUCUUUGGAUGAUAAUUGUAGCAUUUUAUCAAUUCCUGGACUUCGGUCUUGAUAUCAUCCUUUAAUGUUCUUUUUAAUGACUGUCUUUUAGUUUUAGUUGAAUUAGUUUCUUUUCUACAUGUGAAAAUUACAUCAUCCAAAGAAAUUCUUCAUCUGCAUGUUAUAUGAAGAAGACAAUUUUCAUCACAGUGAAAGAGAUUGUUUUGUUAAACAUAUUGCAUUGAUGCACAAAUAUACUUUUAGAUUUUUAAUAGCUAGGGUUCAUAUUUCUUAAUAUGGAAUGCUAAGUACUGUUGAUUUCAAUUUUUUGUGAACAAAGACAUACUAGUAGAAAAAAAUGUACAUGAUGUGUAAGAAAAGCAUGUGUAAACCUUAUGACUUUAUAUUUGCUGAUUAAUUCAUUUAUGAGUUUCAUCUUUGUUUCAAUGUAAACAUUUCUAAGUAGGGCACACAUCAGAAACUCUUUAAAUUCUGACUAUCAGGGUUUAA